CUUCAUGUGAUCCAAGUAAAAAAGUCUCCACCUUUUUCAAUUGUCCUUAGUUCUGACUUCAGUCAACUCUUUGUGUAUGUGUCUGCAUAUAAGAGCAGUAGCCUUUACGACCUUCAUCUUUCGAGUGUUCAAUCAUCAUCAUAGGCAUCUCAUAAGAUAAAGAAGAUAUACUUAGCAAAGCGAUCUUCAAGAGCUUUCAACGAACUCAGACUUCCAACCAUAAACUCCAGAUCAAACUCUGUUAUGCUCUAGAGGUUCGAUCGAUGAGACUACUCUAACUCCAACUAGAUCCAUCACAGGUAUUGCAGUUCCUGUCCAAGUGUCUUAACCCUGAUGGAUUUCAAGAUCACCGAGAAUGUCUGGUACACAGAACAUUGUCUUGACUAUUAUAUCACUCCAAUCUCAAGUUUCCAUGGUUUGAUUCUCUGACCUGUUUGUGACAUUUCUUAGAGAUCAACUACUUGGUGCAGUUAAGUCACCCUAACUUAGUUAAACUGAUUGGUUAUUGCUUGGAAGAUGAACAACUGCUUCUUUUGUACGAGUUUAUGCAUAAGGAGUCUUGAGGAUCAUUUGUUCACAAUGUUCAAGCAGAUGAUGUGUAGUUAAAAACAUCACGCAGAGAUUUGGUGCUUCGCUGUCAGCAAUCGUGGUGACUUUCGUUACAGGAUCUCAUGACUGCUCCAUGCGACGCUGGGAUCGUACUGAAGAACCGUUCUUCCUCGAGCUAAAGAGCUUGCAUUUCUUCAUACGACCCUGUUUAAGUCAUAUACACCUUCUAAGAUCUUGCUCUACUCGAAAACUAUCAGACUUUGGUUUAGUGAGAGACUGUCCAAAGGGAGAAACAAGCUAUGUUAUUACAAGAGUCAUGGGUA